rnacentral:rRNA from 1 species
AACCCCCAGCAACGGAUCUCUUGGCUCCAGCAUCGAUGAAGAACGCGGCGAAAUGCGAUACGUAAUGCGAAUUGCAGGACCCAGUGAGUCAUCAAGUUUUUGAACGCACAUUGCGCCCGCCGGUUUUCCGGCGGGCCUGCUCGUCCGAGCGUCGCU